rnacentral:rRNA from 1 species
GGUGAAAAGCACCCCGGAAGGGGAGUGAAAUAGAACCUGAAACCGUGUGCUUACAAGUAGUCAGAGCCCGUUAAUGGGUGAUGGCGUGCCUUUUGUAGAAUGAACCGGCGAGUUACGAUUUGAUGCAAGGUUAAGCAGUAAAUGUGGAGCCGUAGCGAAAGCGAGUCUGAAUAGGGCGUUUAGUAUUUGGUCGUAGACCCGAAACCAGGUGAUCUACCCUUGGUCAGGUUGAAGUUCAGGUAACACUGAAUGGAGGACCGAACCGACUUACGUUGAAAAGUGAGCGGAUGAACUGAGGGUAGCGGAGAAAUUCCAAUCGAACCUGGAGAUAGCUGGUUCUCUCCGAAAUAGCUUUAGGGCUAGCCUCAAGUGAUGAUUAUUGGAGGUAGAGCACUGUUUGGACGAGGGGCCCCUCUCGGGUUACCGAAUUCAGACAAACUCCGAAUGCCAAUUAAUUUAACUUGGGAGUCAGAACAUGGGUGAUAAGGUCCGUGUUCGAAAGGGAAACAGCCCAGACCACCAGCUAAGGUCCCAAAAUAUAUGUUAAGUGGAAAAGGAUGUGGCGUUGCCCAGACAACUAGGAUGUUGGCUUAGAAGCAGCCAUCAUUUAAAGAGUGCGUAAUAGCUCACUAGUCGAGUGACACUGCGCCGAAAAUGUACCGGGGCUAAACAUAUUACCGAAGCUGUGGAUUGUCCUUUGGACAAUGGUAGGAGAGCGUUCUAAGGGCGUUGAAGCAUGAUCGUAAGGACAUGUGGAGCGCUUAGAAGUGAGAAUGCCGGUGUGAGUAGCGAAAGACGGGUGAGAAUCCCGUCCACCGAUUGACUAAGGUUUCCAGAGGAAGGCUCGUCCGCUCUGGGUUAGUCGGGUCCUAAGCUGAGGCCGACAGGCGUAGGCGAUGGAUAACAGGUUGAUAUUCCUGUACCACCUAUAAUCGUUUUAAUCGAUGGGGGGACGCAGUAGGAUAGGCGAAGCGUGCGAUUGGAUUGCACGUCUAAGCAGUAAGGCUGAGUAUUAGGCAAAUCCGGUACUCAUUAAGGCUGAGCUGUGAUGGGGAGAAGACAUUGUGUCUUCGAGUCGUUGAUUUCACACUGCCGAGAAAAGCCUCUAGAUAGAAAAUAGGUGCCCGUACCGCAAACCGACACAGGUAGUCAAGAUGAGAAUUCUAAGGUGAGCGAGCGAACUCUCGUUAAGGAACUCGGCAAAAUGACCCCGUAACUUCGGGAGAAGGGGUGCUCUUUAGGGUUAACGCCCAGAAGAGCCGCAGUGAAUAGGCCCAAGCGACUGUUUAUCAAAAACACAGGUCUCUGCUAAACCGUAAGGUGAUGUAUAGGGGCUGACGCCUGCCCGGUGCUGGAAGGUUAAGAGGAGUGGUUAGCUUCUGCGAAGCUACGAAUCGAAGCCCCAGUAAACGGCGGCCGUAACUAUAACGGUCCUAAGGUAGCGAAAUUCCUUGUCGGGUAAGUUCCGACCCGCACGAAAGGCGUAACGAUUUGGGCACUGUCUCAACGAGAGACUCGGUGAAAUCAUAGUACCUGUGAAGAUGCAGGUUACCCGCGACAGGACGGAAAGACC